rnacentral:tRNA from 1 species
GCCUAGCUGGCUUAGUUGGAAGAGUAUGUGGCUCUUGAUCUUGGGGUCAUGAGUUCGAGCUUCAUGUUGGGUG